rnacentral:rRNA from 1 species
GAUGAACGCUGGCGGCGUGCCUAAUACAUGCAAGUCGAGCGAACGGACGAGAGGCUUGCUUCUCUGAUGUUAGCGGCGGACGGGUGAGUAACACGUGGAUAACCUACCUAUAAGACUGGGAUAACUUCGGGAAACCGGAGCUAAUACCGGAUAAUAUUUUGAACCGCAUGGUUCAAAAGUGAAAGACGGUCUUGCUGUCACUUAUAGAUGGAUCCGCGCUGCAUUAGCUAGUUGGUAAGGUAACGGCUUACCAAGGCAACGAUGCAUAGCCGACCUGAGAGGGUGAUCGGCCACACUGGAAUUGAGACACGGUCCAGACUCCUACGGGAGGCAGCAGUAGGGAAUCUUCCGCAAUGGGCGAAAGCCUGACGGAGCAACGCCGCGUGAGUGAUGAAGGUCUUCGGAUCGUAAAACUCUGUUAUUAGGGAAGAACAUAUGUGUAAGUAACUGUGCACAUCUUGACGGUACCUAAUCAGAAAGCCACGGCUAACUACGUG